rnacentral:lncRNA from 1 species
CUCCCUCCAGGGUCAGAAGGCAGCUAGCUGAUAAGGGGAGCAGCACCCACGGUGAGGUCUGACCAACAGCCGCAACCAUAGUGGCGCUUUGCUGAGUCUUCCUUGAGCUCCCUGUGUGCCUAACGCAGAGCUUCUCCCCUCCCCGGGGCUUUGGAAAAUCUGCUCUGAAAUGUCUUGUGAGUGAUCAGUUUACGCUUCAACAGGAAAAUGAGUUGAAUGGUGGAACUUGAGGCAGGGUUUUGGGGAAUGGACAGUGGGAGUUCUGGGAGUCUAGAGCCAGCCUCUGGGCUUGGGGUUAGCAGGGCCGAGGCAUGCCCAGAUCGCAUGCCAUCAAGCCCCAGGACCAGCCGCAUCUGUGGGGUACCUCCAGGGCGUCCCCCUCCUUGGCCUGCCCUGAUGGGCUGAUAAGACCUAGCCUCGGAGGAGGAGGCAGCUGUAAUUACAGGCCUUAGUGGUGGCGGGCAGGCAAGUCAUGAGGUGGGGGUGACUCAGACGAUUGCUCCACGGACAGGGUGGAGGCGGGGGCCACCCAUCUGCCCCUCACCCAGCUGGCCUGAGAUGGGUCUGGGCACCCAGGGAGCGGCCCGGCCAGGGUCCCAUCCUUGGGCCUGUGACCCAGGCCCCUGUGCCACUUGGCAUCCACGAAGCUGGCAUUGCACUGGACUUGGGACUGGCUGGGUUUUCCCCUUUCUUCGUCCCAGGCAAUAGCUUCUGGGAAGUAGGAGUCAGUGCUCAGAGGCACCAAUGGGAGGAUCAUCAGGACUGGACCGAGAGAGCCGCAGACUCGGGGGAGAGUACCGGGAGUCCCAGACCACAGAAAGACAGAACCUCAGCCAUGUGCAGACUCUGAGAACCAGCAGAUGACGGUUUCUAGAACCAAAUAUUUUCAGGUUCAAGGAUUCAGGGACUAGUAGAUCUGUAGAAUUAUCGAUUUAUAAGAUCACGGACCUGGUUGCAAUUGGUUCCAGAGAAUUCAUAUAUCCAUUGAGAUAGAGAUUUAAAAAAAAAUCACAGCAGCUGAUGAGUUCAGGAGUAAAUUACCUUGGUGUCUUCAACUUGCUCCCACAUGGAUCAGGCAAGAAAAGCCCCCCCAAAAGUAGAAAUAUGCAUCUUUCUCAUUUAACCUAGCUAGAGGGAAGGCCCGCAGACUGAAGAAUUAACAACUGGUAAAUUGAGGCAAUCAUUGUACUAAUCAUUUGACUGUCUAUGGGCUUAAAAAUUGUCAAAAUAAAAAGCCAGGAAAUAGUAAUAAAGAAAAGGAAAUGUGGGUCAGGCAUGGUGGCUCACGCCUGUAAUUCCAGCACUUUAGGAGGCUGAGGCGGUAGGAUCGCGUGAGCCCAGGAGAUUGAGACCAGCCUGAGCAAUAUAUUGAGACCUCGUUUCUAUGGGAAG